AAGUCGUAACAAGGUUUCCGUAGGUGAACCUGCGGAAGGAUCAUUACAGAAUAAACUUGAUAAGUUGUUGCUGGCUCGUAAGAGUAUGUGCACACUUGUCAUAUUUAUCUUUCCACCAUGUGCACUAUGCAUAGGAUCUGAUUAAAAUGUGAUCAGGGGAAACCUUGGUUAUUGGAAACUGCUGUUGGCAACAACGGCUUUUUCUGUCUUCAGAUCCUGUGACUUAUAUAUACACCAAGUAUGUUAAAGAACGUUUACAUGGGCUCUUGUAGCCUAUAUACUUUAAUACAACUUUCAGCAACGGAUCUCUUGGCUCUC
rnacentral:misc_RNA from 1 species